rnacentral:rRNA from 1 species
GAUGAACGCUGACAGAAUGCUUAACACAUGCAAGUCUACUUGAUCCUUCGGGUGAAGGUGGCGGACGGGUGAGUAACGCGUAAAGAACUUGCCUUACAGACUGGGACAACAUUUGGAAACGAAUGCUAAUACCGGAUAUUAUGACUGAGUCGCAUGAUUUGGUUAUGAAAGCUAUAUGCGCUGUGAGAGAGCUUUGCGUCCCAUUAGUUAGUUGGUGAGGUAACGGCUCACCAAGACGAUGAUGGGUAGCCGGCCUGAGAGGGUGAACGGCCACAAGGGGACUGAGACACGGCCCUUACUCCUACGGGAGGCAGCAGUGGGGAAUAUUGGACAAUGGACCAAAAGUCUGAUCCAGCAAUUCUGUGUGCACGAUGAAGUUUUUCGGAAUGUAAAGUGCUUUCAGUUGGGAAGAAGUCAGUGACGGUACCAACAGAAGAAGCGACGGCUAAAUACGUGCCAGCAGCCGCGGUAAUACGUAUGUCGCAAGCGUUAUCCGGAUUUAUUGGGCGUAAAGCGCGUCUAGGCGGUUUAGUAAGUCUGAUGUGAAAAUGCGGGGCUCAACCCCGUAUUGCGUUGGAAACUGCUAAACUAGAGUACUGGAGAGGUAGGCGGAACUACAAGUGUAGAGGUGAAAUUCGUAGAUAUUUGUAGGAAUGCCGAUGGGGAAGCCAGCCUACUGGACAGAUACUGACGCUAAAGCGCGAAAGCGUGGGUAGCAAACAGG